UACGAAGGGGGCUAGCGUUGUUCGGAAUUACUGGGCGUAAAGCGUGCGCAGGCGGUUCGUGAUGUCUGAUGUGAAAGCCCCGGGCUCAACCUGGGAAUGGCGAUGGAUACUGGCUCGCUAGAGUGCGGUAGAGGAGAGUGGAAUUCCCGGUGUAGCAGUGAAAUGCGUAGAGAUCGGGAGGAACAUCAGUUGCGAAGGCGGCUCUCUGGACCAGCACUGACACUGAGGCACGAAAAGCGUGGGGGAGCAAACAGG
rnacentral:rRNA from 1 species